UACAGAGGUCCCAAGCGUUGUUCGGAUUCACUGGGCGUAAAGGGUGCGUAGGCGGUUGGGUAAGUCUGAUGUGAAAUCUCACAGCCUAACUGUGAAACUGCAUUGGAUACUAUCCAACUCGAGGAAUGGAGGGGAGACUGGAAUACUUGGUGUAGCAGUGAAAUGCGUAGAUAUCAAGUGGAACACCAGUGGCGAAGGCGAGUCUCUGGACAUUUCCUGACGCUGAGGCACGAAAGCCAGGGGAGCAAACGGG
rnacentral:rRNA from 1 species